rfam:Brachypodium distachyon strain Bd21 chromosome 1, whole genome shotgun sequence.
CAGGGUACCCUUUGACCCAGUUCAACCAAAUGAACUAAAAUUUUAAAAUGACAACUUUUUGAAAAACUAGUUCAUUUGUUUGAACUAAGGAGGGUCAAAGGGUACCCUG